GGGCCCGCACAAGCAGCGGAGCAUGUGGUUUAAUUCGACGCAACGCGAAGAACCUUACCUGGGCUUGACAUGUUCCUGACAGCCGUGGAAACACGGUCUCCCUUCGGGGCAGGAUCACAGGUGGUGCAUGGCUGUCGUCAGCUCGUGUCGUGAGAUGUUGGGUUAAGUCCCGCAACGAGCGCAACCCCCGUCGCAUGUUGCCAGCAUUUAGUUGGGGACUCAUGCGAGACCGCCGGUGACAAACCGGAGGAAGGUGGGGAUGACGUCAAGUCAUCAUGCCCCUUAUGUCCAGGGCUACACACGUGCUACAUUGGCGCGUACAGAGGGUUGCGAUACCGCGAGGUGGAGCGAAUCCCUUAAAGCGCGUCUCGGUUCGGAUUGCAGGCUGAAACCCGCCUGCAUGAAGGCGGAGUUGCUAGUAAUCGCGGAUCAGCACUGCCGCGGUGAAUACGUUCCCGGGCCUU
rnacentral:rRNA from 1 species